CCUCAGUCAGAAAUUGAAGUUCCCUGCAACGAGUACAUCUCACUCCCCUUGAAGCCCAAGGAUCUGACAAAAGGCUUCUUCCAACAGUGCUGACUGGUUCUCAGGCUGGAUGAAGCCAGUUGUCCAACCUCCAGAAGAAUUUCUCCCAUCUGAGCACCUCCAUCCACACUUUCAACACCUCUGCUGACCUGAGAGGGGGGUUCUAUGUGGUUUUCUACCAUGGAUUCCUUCCUCUCACGGUUGAAAGCUGAGAAGCACAGAGAAAUCUCAAUGACAAAACUGGGGCCAAAACAUCUGCAUCAGUGCCAAGCAGCACCCAAAUCUGAUCAGAAAA